rnacentral:lncRNA from 1 species
GGAGCCCAUCAGGGUCCCCAGAUUUACAAAUUUCUGACUUCCAUUUUGGGAGUCAGCCAGAGGGGAGAUUUUCUCUGAGGAGGGCAGCUUCAGUUAAACAGAGGGAGUAGCCCCAGGGCUGGCCACUCAACAAGAAGAGAGCUCUGUCGAAGGACAGUGACCUCCGAACACGGGGGGAGGCACAGGCUGCACCCUGCCACUCCCUGCUGUCAGCCCUGGAAAAAGGUGGGGUGUGAGUGUCAAGGACUGGGGAGGUGGGAGGGAAGAGGUCAGCAGAGCUUAGGGAGUGAGCAGAAAGGUUUGGAGCACAUCCUGGAGGUGGGAAGGAAGGGAUGGAAAGAAGGCUGACAAGCGGGCGGGGGAGGGGGGGCGCCUUCCUCCUCUGAGAGGAGGCCCCGCCCCACGCUAUCCGGGCUGUCAGCCCUGAUCAACCCUGACAGAGUUCCCGGAUGUGCUUUGCCGGAUGUGCUUUGCCGGAUGUGCUUUGCCGGAUGUGCUUUGCCGGAUGUGCUUUCCCGGCGGCCAUCUUGGGAGUCUGAAGGACCUGAGGCAUUUUGUGACGAGGAUCGUCUCGGGUCAGCGGAGGGAAGAGACUUAGACCUAUCCAGUCUUCAAGGUGCUCCAGGAAGCAGGAGUUGAAGACCUGGGUGUGAGGGACACAUACAUCCUAAAAGCACCACAGCAGAGGAGGCCCAGGCAGUGCCAGGAGUCAAGGUUCCCAGGAGACAAACCCCCUAGGAAGACAGGCGACCUGUGAGGCCCUAGAGCACCACCUUAAGAGAAGAAGAGCUGUAAGCCGGCCUUCGUCAGAGCCAUCAUGGGGGACAAGGAUAUGCCUACUGCUGGGAUGCCGAGUCUUCUCCAGAGUUCCUCUGAGAGUCCUCAGAGUUGUCCUGAGGGGGAGGACUCCCAGUCUCCUCUCCAGAUUCCCCAGAGUUCUCCUGAAAGCGACGACACCAUGUAUCCUCUCCAGAGUUCUCAGAGUCGUUCUGAGGGGGAGGACUCCUCGGAUCCUCUCCAGAGACUUCCUGAGGGGAAGGAUUCCCAAUCUCCUCUCCAGAUUCCCCAGAGUUCUCCUGAGAGCGACGACACCCUGUAUCCUCUCCAGAGUCCUCAGAGUCGUUCUGAGGGGGAGGACUCCUCGGAUCCUCUCCAGAGACCUCCUGAGGGGAAGGAUUCCCAAUCUCCUCUCCAGAUUCCCCAGAGUUCUCCUGAGAGCGACGGCACCCUGUAUCCUCUCCAGAGUCCUCAGAGUCGUUCUGAGGGGGAGGACUCCUCGG